GGGUUUAUCCGUUGGUCGGGCUUUUGGGUCUGUACUGGCGUGAUGGAUUCCUACCUUCUGAAUAACCAGCAUGUCAUUAAUUUGGUGCGUUGGGGAAGCAGGACUGUUACCUUGAAAAAAUUAGAGUGCUUAAAGCAGGCUAUUGCCUGAAUACAUUAGCAUGGAAUAAUGAAAUAGGACGCAUGGUUCUAUUUUGUUGGUUUCUAGGAUCACCGUAAUG
rnacentral:rRNA from 1 species